UAGGCGACUGCUGGGUCAAAAGCAAGCUUUAGGGAUGGCGUCCACGAGACCCCAAACAGGUUUUUCCUCAUUAAAAACCCUGGACUUCAAAGAGGUAAAGAAAAAAAAAAAAGCCCAAAGUCAGCAGAUCGUAAAACGCAUAAAACUCAUAUAACUCGACACCCCGAGUCCAAAGGGGCUGUUGCGGCAGGCUCCCCGGUGCCCACGUCACCAAUCGCCUCUGAGAGCCUCGCACCCGGCGCUGGGCGAGACCGCAGGGCAGCGCGGGGCGCUCUCGAUACCGAGGGGACGACGGGGCGGGGCCUUUCCGGCAGGAGAGGCUGCCCGGGAGGCGGCGGGACUCCGUGCGGGCGGCCACCCUACGCCGGGGAAGGGCCGCAGCGCCCCCGGUUCUCUCGGCCCCCCGUUCCACGUGGGCGCCAGGGACCCUGCGGCACGGCGCCGGGAGCCAGGGAUCCCCAACUUUCGGCCGGAGUGUCCGGAGAGCCAGCCAGCCCGCCCGCUCGGCCGGGG
rnacentral:lncRNA from 1 species